UACGUAGGGUGCGAGCGUUGUCCGGAAUUAUUGGGCGUAAAGAGCUUGUAGGCGGUUUGUCGCGUCUGCUGUGAAAAUCCGGGGCUCAACCCCGGACUUGCAGUGGGUACGGGCAGACUAGAGUGUGGUAGGGGAGACUGGAAUUCCUGGUGUAGCGGUGAAAUGCGCAGAUAUCAGGAGGAACACCGAUGGCGAAGGCAGGUCUCUGGGCCACUACUGACGCUGAGGCGCGAAAGUGUGGGGAGCAAACAGGAUUAGAUACCCGGGUAGU
rnacentral:rRNA from 1 species